rnacentral:tRNA from 2 species
GGGCUCGUGGUGUAGAGAUCUAACAUACCACACUGUCACUGUGGAGAUCGCGGGUUUGAAUCCCGUCGGGCCCGCCA